ensembl:lncRNA
GCGGAGCGUUUAGAGUUCCGGCUGCUCCUUAGGGAUCUCUGCCUCCUCACCAGCAGGCUGGGAGCCGGCCCUUCUCGCUGUUUCUGGCGUCUGCCUCCAGCAAGUCCUCCCGUUUCUCUACCUCUUCCCUCAUUUCCCGUCUGCCCAGCUUUGUGUGAAACCAGACGACAAAGGGUGUUCGGAUUAAGAGCCAGAUGUUAGAGAAAUUUCUGGAAUGUUCCAGGUACACCUAUGUCCUCCAACACGAAAGUUAAAGCAUGUCCUUGAGACUUCUCAGACACCACUGCCACUCUCUUAGAUGAGAAAACCGAGGCAGUUUGAAGGCUGCAAAGAAGUCAGACACGGGUCCCGCCACGAGAAUUUACACCAGGGCUGCAGGAAAGCAUCGCGUGAGGAUUGAGAACUUGGGCUCUGGAAAGACAGACCUGGGUAGCAUCUCAGCUCCACUGCUUCCUGGCCCUGUGACCUCAGAUGAAGCUGGCCAGGACGCCUUCAAGAGAAGGAAUCAGAACUUCUGAUUUUGUGCUAAAGCUUCGUCCCAUGAUGUGGGCCAAUUAUCUUUGGUAAACAAAGGCAACUGGAGGAACGAGAGGAGGAUUUUGAGCUCCCCCUACAGGAACCCUGCCCAGGCACUAUGUGAAGAACCCUGGGCUAGCCUGAUGGCAUUUGAGAAAUUUCAUGGGGUAGAGAGGAGCUGUCCUAGCUGAAGGCUGGCCCAGACCAACCAGCACCCUGGUGACCCGGCAGUUAACAGCAAAUGCAUGAGUGAGU